rnacentral:tRNA from 1 species
GCCUGUGUGCUGUAGUGGUUUAAGCACUGGACUACAACACUGGAGACCAGGGUUCAAAUCCCCACUUGGCCA